rnacentral:rRNA from 1 species
AUUCCUGUACUUGGUGUUACUGCGAAGGGGGGACGGAGAAGGCUAUGUCAGCCGGGCGACGGUUGUCCCGGUUUAAGCAUGUAGGCGGAGGUUCCAGGUAAAUCCGGUACCUUAUUAACGCUGAGGUGUGAUGACGAGGCACUACGGUGCUGAAGUGAUAAAUGCCCUGCUUCCAGGAAAAGCCUCUAAGCAUCAGGUAACACGAAAUCGUACCCCAAACCGACACAGGUGGUCAGGUAGAGAAUACCAAGG